AGGAACAUGACCUGAGAUGUGCAGGGAUUAGAAUAGUUGAACAGUUGCUGGGUUUAAUUCUGAAGAGUCUAGCUGGCUGCCUUCCUUUUUGCCAAUAGCUUAUUACUCAUCCCUGAACUCUUUUCUCCCUGGCUCUUGCAAGAGCUGCUUUUCAUUAGCACCUGGAGGCUCCUGCCCGCUGCAGGUGGAGGAACAAGACAAAUCAUCUCUAAAACUCCUGAAGAAAAGCCCAAUCACUGUGCGGUACCUGAGAGAUGGAUGGCCUGCCAUGCCAGUAACUGCUUGUCUUCUGCUGGUGAUAGAUUUUCACAGCAGAGAUGAGAAUUCAUCUUCAAAAUUCUGCAGCCUUCUCAUUUUGGGCAUAUGGAAAACUCAAAACCAGUUCCAGUUAGGUCAGAAGCAGGAAGAUCUGGGAAUCUUGGAACUCUUAUUUCCAGAGAAUUUCCAGCAAACCAUUCUCAACUAACAAGCCUSCUGUGGAUGCUCCUCA